ensembl:ncRNA C09B8.10 ncRNA
UGGCGCAGUUCCAGUGCAUUAGGCACCGCGAAAUGAAAUUUGGUCAGUGAGGGUCCGGAAAAUGACGUUGUCCUCUUUUCUUU